rnacentral:rRNA from 1 species
UACGGAGGGGGCUAGCGUUGUUCGGAAUUACUGGGCGUAAAGCGCACGUAGGCGGCUUUGUAAGUUAGAGGUGAAAGCCCGGGGCUCAACUCCGGAAUUGCCUUUAAGACUGCAUCGCUAGAAUUGUGGAGAGGUAAGUGGAAUUCCGAGUGUAGCGGUGAAAUGCGUAGAGAUCGGGAGGAACAUCAGUGGCGAAGGCGGCCUUCUGGACCAGUACUGACGCUGAGGCACGAAAGCGUGGGGAGCAAACAGG